rnacentral:rRNA from 1 species
AGCUCCAAUAGCAUAUAUUAAAGUUGUUGCAGUUAAAAAGCUCGUAGUUGGAUUUCUGUGAGAGUAUGAUGUCCUAACGUGUUUAGAGCGCAGAAAACUCUUGCAUCCUUCUGUUACCUCCACGUGGCAUUCGCUUGCCAGUGGUUGGCUCAGAGAAUUUACCUUGAGAAAAUUAGAGUGUUUCAGGCAGGCUUAGUCGGAAUACAUUAGCAUGGAAUAAUAGAAUAGGACUCCGGUCUCGUUGUUGGUUUGAGGGACUGUAGUAAUGAUUAAUAGGGAUAGUUGGGGGCAUUAGUAUUCGGUUGUCAGAGGUGAAAUUCUCAGAUUUAUUGAAGACUAACUUAUGCGAAAGCAUUUGCCAAGGAUGUUUUCA